UACGUAGGGACCAAGCGUUGUUCGGAUUUACUGGGCGUAAAGGGCUCGAUAGGCGGUUUGUCGCGUCGGGAGUGAAAUCCACUGGCUUAACUGGUGGCUUGCUUUCGAUACGGGCAGACUGGAGGUAUGCAGGGGAGAACGGAAUUCCUGGUGUAGCGGUGAAAUGCGCAGAUAUCAGGAGGAACACCGGUGGCGAAGGCGGUUCUCUGGGCAUGUCCUGACGCUGAGGAGCGAAAGUGUGGGGGAGCGAACAGG
rnacentral:rRNA from 1 species